CCAGACUCCUACGGGAGGCAGCAGUGGGGAAUAUUGGGCAAUGGGCGCAAGCCUGACCCAGCAACGCCGCGUGAAGGAAGAAGGCUUUCGGGUUGUAAACUUCUUUUCUGAGGGACGAAGGAAGUGACGGUACCUCAGGAAUAAGCCACGGCUAACUACGUGCCAGCAGCCGCGGUAAUACGUAGGUGGCAAGCGUUAUCCGGAUUUACUGGGUGUAAAGGGCGUGUAGCCGGGCUGACAAGUCAGAUGUGAAAUCCGGGGGCUCAACCCCCGAACUGCAUUUGAAACUGUUGGUCUUGAGUAUCGGAGAGGCAGGCGGAAUUCCUAGUGUAGCGGUGAAAUGCGUAGAUAUCAGGAGGAACGCCGGUGGCGAAGGCGGCCUGCUGGACUGCGACUGACGUUGAGGCCCGAAAGCGUGGGGAGCAAACAGGAUUAGAUACCCUCGUACUA
rnacentral:rRNA from 1 species